GUGAAUCAUCGAAUUUUUGAACGCAAAUUGCACUCUUUUCGGAGAGUAAGAGUGUUUCUGGGUCAGCAUCAGUAAAUUCGACAUCGUUGCUGUUUCGGGGUGACAUUGGUCGGUAAUUGGGUCAUCUUAAAACUUUGGGUUUUAAGCGGCUUAAAAUUUUCUUUACGAUUCCACGAACGUUUCUCGGAUUUACUUCUUACGUUUAAGGUAUCGUUUUUUUUUAGACGUGUCCGUUGCAUUGGGUUACGUCCAUAAAUAUUUCGUUAACUGACGUCAUCGAG
rnacentral:misc_RNA from 1 species